CUUUGAUUAUGGCUCAGGAUGAACGCUGGCGGCGUGCCUAAUACAUGCAAGUCGAACGAAACUUCUUUAUCACCGAGUGCUUGCACUCACCGAUAAAGAGUUGAGUGGCGAACGGGUGAGUAACACGUGGGCAACCUGCCCGAAAGAGGGGGAUAACACUUGGAAACAGGUGCUAAUACCGCAUAACCAUGAAUACCGCAUGGUAUUUAUGUGAAAGGUGGUUUCGGCUACCGCUUUCGGAUGGGCCCGCGGCGCAUUAGCUAGUUGGUGGGGUAAAGGCUUACCAAGGCAAUGAUGCGUAGCCGAACUGAGAGGUUGAUCGGCCACAUUGGGACUGAGACACGGCCCAAACUCCUACGGGAGGCAGCAGUAGGGAAUCUUCCACAAUGGGCGAAAGCCUGAUGGAGCAACGCCGCGUGGGUGAAGAAGGUCUUCGGAUCGUAAAACCCUGUUGUCAGAGAAGAAAGUGCAUGAGAGUAACUGUUCAUGUUUCGACGGUAUCUGACCAGAAAGCCACGGCUAACUACGUGCAGCAGCCGCGGUAAUACGUAGGUGGCAAGCGUUAUCCGGAUUUAUUGGGCGUAAAGGGAACGCAGGCGGUCUUUUAAGUCUGAUGUGAAAGCCUUCGGCUUAACCGGAGUAGUGCAUUGGAAACUGGGAGACUUGAGUGCAGAAGAGGAGAGUGGAACUCCAUGUGUAGCGGUGAAAUGCGUAGAUAUAUGGAAGAACACCAGUGGCGAAAGCGGCUCUCUGGUCUGUAACUGACGCUGAGGUUCGAAAGCGUGGGUAGCAAACAGGAUUAGAUACCCUGGUAGUCCACGCCGUAAACGAUGAAUGCUAAGUGUUGGAGGGUUUCCGCCCUUCAGUGCUGCAGUUAACACAAUAAGCAUUCCGCCUGGGGAGUACGACCGCAAGGUUGCAACUCAAAUGAAUUGACGGA
rnacentral:rRNA from 2 species